GGAUAUAGCUCAGUUGGGAGAGUGCUUGCCUUGCAUGCACAAGGCCUUGGAUUCGAUCCCCAGCACCA
rnacentral:tRNA from 1 species